rnacentral:lncRNA from 1 species
AAAGCUUUCCCCUCGGGGGAACCAGCCCCCGCCCCUCUCUCUCCCGUGACCCGUCCUUCUCUCUCUUUCUGAAAGCUCUAUCCCUCUGCGAGAAAACUAAUGCCCUCUCUCUCCUGGGACACUCAUCUCUCUCUAUCUAAAAGCCCCAUCCCUUUGCAAGAAAACCAGAGUUGCGAGAAAACCAGAGCCCUCUCUCGUGACCCUCUUCUCUCUCUCUAAAAGCCCCAUCUGCGGGAAAACCCAGCCCCCUCUCUCUCUCUCUCUCUUUAUCUAUCUAAAAGCCCCAUGCCUAUGCAAGAAAACCAGAGCUGUGAGAAAACCAUAGCCCUGAUUGCUAAUCUCUUCUGGAAUGUGCCAGAAAUUUACUUUGUUUGAGAUAGGUACCUCUUGGUUAAAUAGUCUGAAAGAAGAACAAAAACACUGCCAAGCUCAUGAAACCCUAGGAGUAGAUCAAAAUGGAAGACGAAACUAAUGCAAUUCAACCCAAUCAUGGAUCUAAUUUUUUAGUAGAAGACCUCGACACUGUUUUCAGUGCAAAUCAGUUCAUAAUGGCUGAAAUUUAAGUUUGGCCAAGUUGGUUCCAUUUGGUAUUCAUCAAAAACAAAAGUUAGGGAGAAAUUGGGUGCUGCAAUACCCUUCCAAGGUCUUCCCUGCCGUUAUAUGGGCAAAAAGAAGCAUAUGCCAAUGGCGUCAUGCCAUUUCCCUGCUGCAAAAUGCCUGCCUUGGGCAGUUCAUAUCUUGGCUAGCUUCUGAUGGUACUUCUGCUAUUUACUUGCUUUUUCUCUCGAGGCUUUUGUGUAAAUAUUUUAACCCCAACCAAGGGCGUGUAAAUAUUUUCACGCCAACCAAGGGCUACUAAUCAUAUGAAACUCUUUACACAAUGCUUUUUAAAUGAAUCUCAGUUGUGAUUUUUCUAUCUCAAUCGAAAUUACAUAGAGAGAUAUUUAUAAAGAAGCUAAAUGGUUUAUCUACAUGAAUAUAUGAGAUAAAGCAGGAAGGAUAUACACAAAGAGGUUACACAAUAAAUAUGGAGAGAUUGACUUUUGGACUUCUGAAUAAGUCUAAAACUCCCCUUCAAGUUGGAGCAUGAAGGUUCUUGAUGGCCAAAGCCAACUUGGCAAGGAGAAAUCUGAAAUUCUCUCGACCGAAUGCCUUGGUAAAGUUAUCAACCACAUGUUGUGAAGAACCAACAAAAUAUGGUUGAAUAAGGCCUUGUUGAAGCUUUUUUCGUAAAAGAUGACAAUCUAAUCGAUGUGCUUAGUGUGUUCAUGAUAGACUGGAUUAGCCGCAAAAUGAAGGG